GCUUAACACAUGCAAGUCGAACGAACUCUUCGGAGUGAGUGGCGAACGGGUGAGUAACACGUAGAUUACGUACCUUCCGGCGGGGGACAACUCAGGGAAACUUGAGCUAAUACCGCAUAUGCCCUUCGGGGUGAAAGGCUUCGGCCACCGGAAGAUCGGUCUGCGGCCCAUUAUCUAAUCCUGGUUGGUGGGGUAAUGGCCUACCAAGGGUACGAUGGGUAGCUGGUCUGAGAGGAUGAUCAGCCACACUGGGACUGAGACACGGCCCAGACUCCUACGGGAGGCAGCAGUGGGGAAUAUUGGACAAUGGGCGAAAGCCUGAUCCAGCUAUGCCGCGUGUGUGAUGAAGGCCCUAGGGUCGUAAAGCACUGUCGGGAGGGACGAAGGACUUCGGUCUUGACGGUACCUCGCAAGAAAGCACCGGCUAACUCC
rnacentral:rRNA from 1 species